rnacentral:rRNA from 1 species
GAUGAACGCUAGCGACAGGCUUAACACAUGCAAGUCGAGGGGCAUCACGGGUAGCAAUAUCUGGUGGCGACCGGCGAACGGGUGAGUAACGCGUAUGCAACCUACUUGUAAACGGGAGACAACCUGGAGAAAUUUGGGCUAAACUUCCAUGAGGCAUUAUUACUGCAUGGUAAUGAUGUCAAACGUAAGGUUUACAAAUGGGCAUGCGUAUGAUUAGCUAGUUGGUAGGGUAAUAGCCUACCAAGGCGACGAUCAUUAGGGGUUCUGAGAGGAAGGUCCUCCACAUUGGAACUGAGAUACGGUCCAAACUCCUACGGGAGGCAGCAGUGGGGAAUAUUGGACAAUGGGCGAAAGCCUGAUCCAGCCAUGCCGCGUGUGUGAAGAAGGCCUUAGGGUUGUAAAGCACUUUAAGCGAGGAGGAAGGUUCGUCACCUAAUACGUGGCGGAAUUGACGUUACUCGCAGAAUAAGCACCGGCUAACUCUGUGCCAGCAGCCGCGGUAA